AAUUUCGUUUCUUGUUGUGCUUUUUAACGUAUUUCAUAGAAUGAUUCUUUGUGCUCUCUAUUGUUUUGUCCAGUAUCUUUUAUCAUUUCCCACUCCCUCUUCUUCUAUCUUUCGGGAUUUCCCUGAGUUCUUUUCUUCCGUACCUCCUUUGGGCGCUUAUGAUUCAUAUUUUCACAAUUAAGUUGAAAAUAAUUACAAAAUCUCGUCAUUUGUUUCUGUCAAAACGUUAUUUGUUCUGCUAUAUCUAAGUGUGACAUAUGAAAAUAUUGCUUGUUUAUGGGAUGAAAUCCCCCCUUUUCACUGGGUUAUGUUUUCGGAAGGGGGGGUGGUGCAGAUGGGGUGUUUGAGAUGACGGAGCCACCCAGUUGUGUAAAGGAUCAAUGGAAUUUAUGUUUGUGUUCAUAUUUUUAACCAAAAUAUUUACAACUGUUGCGUGCAAAUGUGUUAGCGAGGGAGGGCAGGAGUCGGCAUUUAAUUUAUUGCUCAUGGAUGGAAGUAGUUUAUUACCGGCGCCUGAAACUAAUAUAGCAGCUCUGAAAGAAGCCCUUUAUACACAGCAACAUCUUCUGCAAACCCUUUAUGCCGACCUAGAUGAGGAAAGAGAAGCCUCAGCCACUGCAGCCAGCGAAGCUUUAUCUAUGAUAUUGCGGUUGCAAGGUGAAAAGGCUUCACUGAAGAUGGAAGCAAGCCAAUAUAAGAGAAUGGCAGAGGAAAAGAUGUGUCAUGCAGAAGAGGCUCUGGCAAUUGUAGAAGACCUCAUAUAUCAGAGAGAAAUGGAGAUUGCAUCUCUUGAAUACCAAGUUCAGGCUUAUAGGUACAGACUUUUAAGCAUGGGCUGUAAUGAUUUGUGUGUGUACGAGAAUACUUAUCCAGAGAAUCUGUUAAUGCAAAGAAACGAUCCUUUAUUUGGGGAAAAUGGUGCCAAUGGAAAUGUAAGGAGAUUCAACUCUCCGCCUCAGGUUUCAACCAAGGAUGCCAGUUACAAUAAAAGUGAUAUUGAAAGGAAAAAAUCUAUAGUCCCUGUGCUAGAUACAAUGCAAAUGAAUGCGGAGGAAAUUGCAAUUCGAGAAGCUAAUGAUUCAGAGAAGAAAUCAGGGAGCCCUUCUGGUGCACACGUUGGUUCAUAUUGGGAGCAGAUCAAAAGGUUGGAUGAACGGGUAAAAGAGAUUUCUGACGACAAAGAUCCCGGUAGGAAAAACUCUGCAAUCUGGAAGGGUGGCACUUGGUCUCCGUCAUUGUUUUCACAAAUGGGCACUGGCACAUCUGGCGAUCUAACAAGAACGGAAAAUUCUACUCAUUCAGACAAAGUUAAACAGCAUCAGGAUUCACGGGAAAGUGUUCAGGAUAUUUUUGAAGUCCCACAAACUAUCGAGAGUUGCAAAGUUUCUGAACAUCCUGUGAAAGAACGUCACAAAAUGACUUUGGAAGGUGAAAAAAGGCUUCAAAAGCCAGAUAUGGUAUCUGAGGAUAUUCUGAUAACGCCUAAUAAAGAUAAAAGAGACCUGGUAAAGGCAAUGGUGCUUUCCACGGUCCAUGAGAAGAAAUUGCCUAAGCCAAAAGAUCGGGCAAGUUUUCACCGCAAUGUGUCUCCUGUGAGCCGCCCAGCAAUUAGUGCAAGCAAUUCUCAAGCUGAGUAUCAACAGCUGAGUCAGAGAGUUGAGAGGCUUGAGAGAGUAAGAAACAAUACAAGCCAAGAAAUUAUUUCUGAAGGGGAAGAGGAACUGAAUUUGUUGAAGGAGAUACGAGAACAACUCAAUUCAAUACAGUCUGAGAUCAGAAGUUUGAAAAAAACAAAAAAUCCCCAUGCUGCAGUUAAGCAACCUUUAGAUCUUCUCCAAGAGGCAAUGCUGUACUUUUGGUUUUAAUUAGAGCAAUCAAGUUCUUACUGCCUUAAUCACAGAAUUUUUAUGAAUUUCCGGGUUCUGAUACACCUGCAACAAGGGCUACUUUGUAAGGAUGAUGUUUUGAUUUUGAAUAGAGUGAAUAUUAUACAAACUCUCAAUUCCUGUUCAUGAGUGGAGAGAACAAGGCUGUUUCUGGUUUCAUUUUCCUUCCUCCAAAUGAGUUUCGGGAGAAGGACUUCACGCAUAUUCUAACACAAUUGUCAUUCUCUGCCACGAUAUACUUGAUAUAGUAUGAGAGGAACACUCAUGUCUUCUACCAGCUCCACUGAUCACAGCAUGAUACGGUGAAAGAGAUCUUCAGCUUGUUGAGAUUACGACUUCUAGACAUAAAAUCCUGAUACUAUAUGUAGAGAUCAGAUCUACUUGAUAGCUUCGAUUUCUAUAUUUAUUCAUGUUGUUUUAUUUUAGUUUGAUGUUGUUUAGUUUUUUGAGCUUUCUUGUAGUCUAUUUGUUUUAAUUUUAUAGGUUUCAUGACUUUUAAAUCUGGAUAACGGAUUUAUUGUAUUUCUUGGGGUAU